AGAGUUUGAUCAUGGCUCAGGACGAACGCUGACGGUGUGCUUUAGGCAUGCAAGUCGAACGAGAAAGCCCUUCGGGGUGAGUAAAGUGGCGAACGGGUGAGUAACACGUGGGCAACCUGCCCCUCGCAGGGGGACAACCGGAGGAAACUCCGGCUAAUACCCCGUACGCUUGUUGGAUCGCAUGGUCCGGCAAGGAAAGGUAGCUUCGGCCAUCCGGCGAGGGAUGGGCCCGCGUUGCAUUAGCUAGUUGGUGGGGUAACGGCCUACCAAGGCGACGAUGCGUAGCUGGUCUGAGAGGAUGAUCAGCCACACUGGGACUGAGACACGGCCCAGACUCCUACGGGAGGCAGCAGCCAGGAAUCUUGGGCAAUGGGCGAAAGCCUGACCCAGCAACACCGUGUGGGCGAUGAAGGCCUUAGGGUCGUAAAGCCCUGUUGAUAGGGACGAAGGGCGAAGGGUUAAUAGCCCCUAGCUUGACGGUACCUUUCGAGGAAGCCCCGGCUAACUACGUGCCAGCAGCCGCGGUAAUACGUAGGGGGCGAGCGUUGUCCGGAAUUAUUGGGCGUAAAGAGCGUGUAGGCGGUUCGGUAAGUCUGCUGUGAAAUCCUGGGGCUCAACCCUGGGCGUGCAGCGGAUACUGCCGGGCUAGAGGGUGGUAGAGGCGAGUGGAAUUCCGAGUGUAGCGGUGAAAUGCGCAGAUAUUCGGAGGAACACCAGUAGCGAAGGCGGCUCGCUGGGCCACACCUGACGCUGAGACGCGAAAGCGUGGGGAGCGAACAGGAUUAGAUACCCCUGUAGUCC
rnacentral:rRNA from 1 species